GACAAAAGGACAUCUGUUCACAUCUUACCGGGCAGCAUUAGAUUAUAUAAAAAUUCUUCUAAUACUGUCAGGUAAAGAUGUCGUCCGGGUCCUUAUUCAACA
rnacentral:miRNA from 2 species